CCGACCUAUCAGCUCGCUCUCCUCGCCCCGCCAAGCCGAUGACUGGAGGAGCAACAUAAGUUCGCCGCCCUCCCCAAACAGAAAAACUUCAGGAAUCCUGACCAAAAAACUAGGAGAGCUGGGACAGGACAUAGGCAAGCUGAAGACAGAAACCCGUGGAGGAAAAUGUAUUAUGAGGGCCUGCUAUCCUGAGAAUCAAGGCUAGAGAGUGUCAGUACAUGAAAGUGAGGGAAAGAAUGGAGUGGAGAAGAGGAUGCUGCCUUUCAUUAAUCAGUAAAUUACCGAUGUUCUGGCAAUUAGUACCUUGAGAAAAGUAUUCACUACAAAGCAAUGAAUUGAAGAACUGCAAGAGACCUUGGUGAAUGAUCAUUUCAGCUGCCAGCUGUAUGCAGCCAAAUGGAAGCCACCUUGGACGUUCCAACCUUGCCAAUGCCAACGAGAACAGAAGAACUGCCCUGCUGAGCACUGUCCAAACUUCUGGGCCACAGAAUUGGAAGUAAAUAAUAUUGCUACAGUUAAAAGCCAUUAAAUUUGGUGUAGUUUGCUCUAGCAAUGGAUAACUGAAACAAUCAGGGUGAAAAAAUAAGGGAAUUAGGUACAUGGUUAUUUUCCUGUAACUUAGAUGUAGGAAUAUUUUAGUUUUAAGGGUACAUACUCCCUUCAAAAGCUUCCUGGUUUGAGUACUUUUGCCUUCUUUUGUUAUGCUAUCUUCCUAUUAUCCCUUUCUCUUUUAUGUAAUAGAAUAGUUUUUCAGUAUAUAGUUUUAUUUCAGUAUGUAGUAAUAGUUUUUAAGAAUAAUUUUCCAGGGUGGAAAGAAGUCAUGUCAUUGACUGGAGAGGAAUUACUACAUUAUUUCUAUACUUCUUAGGCCUAUCAUUUCAAUUUUAUGCAGGAAGUUUUGAAGAAAACAUCUUUGGGAAACAAACCCUACAAUUAGAGUAGGUGAUCCAUGGCACAAUAUCAAACAUGAUUAAAGGGUUGUGAACUAUAUACAUUGAUUAAAUAAACCAGAUUUCUGUUCUGCCUCACAGGGUGGCAUAUAAAUUCAGUCCAUAUAGAUGAUUAUUUUCUUGUGAAUUACAUAAUUGAUUCUCAACAGUAAUCAAAUUAGCUAAAGACUUUGGUAACAUAAUUUAUUGGGCCAUCAAAACUAAAAAUUAUCUUAUCUCUCCUACCUUCAAGAAAAUAGACACCUUAAUUACAACUUGAAAAGAACUGGUAUAAAAAUUCAAUGUGAGGGAUACCUAUUUGUUUAAAGAGAAGCUCUAUGAAGGCACAUGUUACAAGCACACA